GGGUGCAGCAGGCGCGAAAACUUUACAAUGCUGGCAACAGCGAUAAGGGGACCUCGAGUGCCAGGAUACAAUCUUGGCUGUCGUGAUGCCUAAAAAGCAUUGCAUAGCAAGGGCCGGGCAAGACCGGUGCCAGCCGCCGCGGUAACACCGGCGGCUCGAGUGGUAACCGCUAUUAUUGGGUCUAAAGGGUCUGUAGCCGGCCGGAUAAGUCUCUUGGGAAAUCCAGCAGCUCAACUGUUGGGCUUUCAGGAGAUACUGUUUGGCUCGAGACCGGGAGAGGUGAGAGGUACUUCAGGGGUAGGGGUGAAAUCUUGUAAUCCUUGAAGGACCACCAGUGGCGAAGGCGUCUCACCAGAACGGAUCUGACGGCAAGGGACGAAAGCUAGGGGCACGAACCGGAUUAGAUACCCGGGUAGUCCUAGCCGUAAACGAUACUCGCUAGGUGUCGGCCACGGUGCGACCGUGGUCGGUGCCGUAGGGAAGCCGUGAAGCGAGCCACCUGGGAAGUACGGCCGCAAGGCUGAAACUUAAAGGAAUUGGCGGGGGAGCAC
rnacentral:rRNA from 1 species